AUUUUUUAUAAUUUUUAAAUAUGGAUAUCCGUAAGUUUUUUCGUCAACAACAAAAAGAAAAAGAUAUAGAUGUUGCUCUUGCUAGUAAAAAUCAGCCAUCAGUUGAGUUGGUUUUCGUUGUAUCCUCAGAUGACGAAGAAAGACCAGACAUACCAUUACCACUCCAUGGGAAAACCAAUGAUGAGUUAGCUACAAAAUCAUCAAAUGAUGGUAUAUAUU